AGAGUUUGAUCCUGGCUCAGAACGAACGCUGGCGGCGUGCCUAACGCAUGCAAGUCGAACGCGAAAGGGGGCAACCCCCGGUAGCGUGGCAGACGGGUGAGUAACACGUGGGUAACCUACCCGGAGGUGGGGGAUAACCCUUCGAAAGGAGGGCUAAUACCGCAUGACACCGCGAGAACCUCGGUCCUUGCGAUCAAAGCUGGCCUCUGUUUACAAGCUAGCGCCACCGGAUGGGCCCGCGCCCCAUUAGCUAGUUGGUGAGGUAACGGCUCACCAAGGCUACGAUGGGUAGCCGGCCUGAGAGGGCGAUCGGCCACACUGGAACUGCGACACGGUCCAGACUCCUACGGGAGGCAGCAGUGAGGAAUCUUGCGCAAUGGGCGAAAGCCUGACGCAGCGACGCCGCGUGGAGGAUGAAGGUCUUCGGAUUGUAAACUCCUGUCGAGCGGGACGAAUGCCAUGAGGGUGAACAAUCCUCGUGGUUGACGGUACCGCUGGAGGAAGCCCCGGCUAACUCCGUGCCAGCAGCCGCGGUAAUACGGAGGGGGCUAGCGUUGUUCGGAAUCAUUGGGCGUAAAGGGCGCGUAGGCGGCCGAUCAAGUCGGAGGUGAAAUCCCUCGGCUCAACUGAGGAAUUGCCUUCGAUACUGUUCGGCUUGAGUCCUGGAGAGGGUAGCGGAAUUCCCGGUGUAGCGGUGAAAUGCGUAGAGACCGGGAAGAACACCAGUGGCGAAGGCGGCUACCUGGACAGGUACUGACGCUGAAGCGCGAAAGCUAGGGGAGCAAACAGGAUUAGAUACCCUAGUAGUCC
rnacentral:rRNA from 1 species